AACCAAAUAAACACGACUACUUACUGAUGGUAUCAAACCUCCCCCCCAAACACAAAAUACAUCCACCCAAAACCCACUCCCCUUGCAGGGUUUUCAUUUUCCUCUUGAGCAGUUAUUGUGCAGUCUUCAGGCUUUAUUCCUGUGUGGUGCUGGGCAAUAGAGGCAGGUGUGCACCAUGGCCCCUGGCAUGUGAAAUGGAGAAAAAGAAGUUCUGAUGAGAAUUAAUUUCUUCCAUGUGCUCUGGAUUUAGCCUAGGAGGGAAUAGAUGUUCUUUCCUCUUUAGACCCUGUGCAUGUUGUCAGCCUCUACCACUGCUGUCUAUAUAUUUAACUCGUCCUAGAGGUGUGUCAAAGGUUGAAAAGCACUUGUUGCCAUACAGGUCAGAGUGGUCAGUAAGGUGGGGAGGAAGUCCUAGAGUGCCUGUGGCCAGAGAUCUAUGUGGUGGGCACUGUGGUGUGCCAAGAUCUCUGCCUGCUGGCCUGAGCAGAGUCUGCCUGUUGCCUUGCACCCUGCCUGUGCAGCUGCCUGCAUGUUCCUGCACUCUCUUACUGGGCUCAUAUCCUGCAGGGUAAUUGGGGAAAAGGACCGUGUUUCUGCUGUGUUUGUACACCUGCCUGCACCACAGAACUCUGAUGUGUGAGUGUGGUUCCCAGAUGAUGCAAGGUGACAAACACUGAAAAGAUGCUAACUGUUUUUAAAUUGACCUUAGUUUUUGUUGCUUUUACCUGUUACUUAAGACUACUUGUGCUGAUUUCAGCAUACAUCCUGCGUGUUAUACUUACGUGUAAUGCACUUGAUUCAAAUAUAUGAUUUUCAAUUCCAUGUUCUUCUGCACUACCACCGCAUUUGACUUGGUGUUGGUUUUAGGUGCUGGCACAGCCACUGUCAGCACACUCUGAUUAAGUGGUCCCAAAUGUCCCUUCAAGACCAAGUCUAGUGGUGGGCUACUUCAAAGGGGUUCUUGUGUAUUUCUGUGAUGUUUAGCUUCAGAUGUUUGCUUUCAUUAUGUUGCUACAGAUUUGCAAUAAUAUAUCCCUUACUUCAAGCUCUUUCAACUGUUAUAGCUGUACUAGCAGUAUUUGCUAGUGUUUCUGAUGUGGGUGUAACCAGAGAAUAAAAUCACAGCAUACUGUUUCUUGUUAAAUUUUGCUUUGAGGUUAAAGCAAUCUUAUAGUACUCCUUGAUACCUGUUUCUACCUAUAUAUCCCUAUCCCAAAUUCUACUUCCUCCUCUUCUUCCUUUCUUUUCUUGCCUCACCUUCGUUAACAGGCGCUGGGAAGGGAAAUGUGUUCCCAUCUUAUUCUGCCAUUGUGUUCAGUGAUCUCAUGUGCUUUGGAUUGAAGAUUGCUGUUCUGCUUAGGUGAGUUGCUGGCUUUCAUGGUCUGAUACAUUAACAAAAUGAUGUGCUGCUGGAGAGAACUUUUGAAACUUUUUGUUAGUAAGAUUUUAAUAAUUACCUUUAUCUCUUUCAUCUAGUGACUAUUUUGGUGUCACUGUACUUCAGAGGUUAUUUGGAAGACCUCCCACUGGGAAUGGGCUCCAGCAGCCCCUGAGCAAGCAUUGCUCUGCUUCUGGGUGGCCAGCAGCAGGGAAGCUUGAGGUAGAGGAGUGUUUGUACUGGGCACAGUCAGGCUGUGGGAAUUGAAGGUGUGUAUUCAGGGUGCACAGCCCAUCCACAGGAGCAGCUCUCUAGGCAAAGGGCAAAGUUCUUCAUCGGUGCUGUACAGAGUAAGAGGUGUCCUUUGGGUAAGCGUGACUCUGGGAAUGAGUAUUGCCCUCAUACUAUCAUGAAGAGUGAGGCAUUUGCAAAGCUCACUCGGGGUUCUGUUUCACUCUGACCUUCCUGUGUGGUGGGUUGGUAGGUCAUCUCAUGUGAACCCUUAACGUGGUUUUUCAAGGGUGCUUAUUUGUUAUGAAGUUGCAGUGCCCAGAACAACCACCACCCUGCCGAUCUUAGUAGAAGUGAAUAGAAUAAAAAUAUUAACUAGACAUGCUUGUUUCUGUCAAGCUAACUGGGAUCUAAUUUACCCUCCCAUUUGCUGUUUGCUUUGCUUUCCCAAGAAGAUAUUAGUGGGCAAAAUAUUUCACGUAUGUAUAUUCAGGAUAAUGCACUCCAGAGCUCUUAUUGUAGUUUAUAUAGUGCUUAUCUGCUUUUUGGCUUGUAAACUUUGCUACUUCUGCAGCCUUAUGAAAGGGGUGAAUAAAUGUAUUGUGUAAUUGCUAUCUGUAAAGUGAAUUCUAGAGAAUUUGCCAGAGGGUGACAUCAAGUAUAUUCAAAUUUACAGUCCCUGAUUAUUCCAAAUACCCGCCAAAAUCUUGUUUCACACUUAAUUUAUUUAACUUUGGCAUAUAUAAGUGCUGAAUGUUUUCCCUUCAUCCAUUUACUUGGGACAAGACUCUCUCCAGAUGUAGUUUCACAGUCUUUAGUCCAGUCUGACUGUGCUUGUCUGUCACUUUUACUUAGUUGGACACACUGGUGAUCAGUACCUGAAUGUGCUAUGGAAAAGUGAGUCUUCAGCCAGAUCAGAGUUUAUCACUGUUAAGCCUAAGGUAAAGGAGGUAGUAGGGUGGGGGAAGUGAAGGGUAAGUUCAGAGUGGGACUGCCCACUUAAAUGGUGGCUUGUCAAUAAAGUGGUCGAUGUCAGCCAUGAAACCGAUCCCUUUGGAGCUGCAGCAAAGGGAGAAGAGACCGGGCUCCCAGCACUCGAUGGAGCUGGAGGUUUGUGCUUUGUUCCAGGCUUCUGAAUACCUUUUGCUGUGUUGGAAAGCAAAGCAAUGCUUUCCCACUUUAUUUAUGCCCUGCCCAAAUUCCUUGAAUUUUUGCAGCUUGGUCCAAGUGAUAGUUCUAGUUUGCAUGUGAAAAGAAUGAAGUGUCCGCCAACUCUCCAUAGGUAGGAAAGCAUCUUAAAACCUGCUUGCCUCUAGCCAUGCAGAAUAUCUGAGAUUGAGGAAGGGUUUUGAAGUAGGGAAUGGAAAUCUGCCUGACACAAGUAAGUCAUGUUGGAAGAAGUGAGACUGUGCUUACUGCUUGACAGAGUAAGUGGGCUGAACUCUAACCAUAGCUGCCUGAGAAAUAGCUGUUUGUUCCCUCCUUUGCAAGGCACAGCCUCUACAUUGCUCCCACAUUUACCACCCGUGGACGUGAACUGUGAGCCAGAUGAAAAAUCUUAAUUGGUGUUAAAAUUAAUUUACCAAAACAAUAAGAAGGAGUUAAACCUAGAUAGCUCUCCACAGUGAAGGAGCAGCAAGAGAAUGGGAAAGAGCUGGAGAGAGUCUAAGAAAAAAACACUCUUGCCUGUUUCUGAUGUAGAAAUAAAUACCAGCACAUCUGCAUUCUGAACAUCACAUUUCCUGGUUCCCCAAGCAUUGGCCCUGGACUGGGAUUUGGCAUCUGUCUCACUUUCAAGUCCAAUGCAGUCUCCUGGCUUCUGGAAGUGAGUGCUUGAUGGCUGGUCAAAGAACUGCUCAGCAGCUGCUGAGCUGGGAAAGAAGCUGCUGCUGUUGCCUGUGCAGGAACAUUAACUGCCUCCUGUUAGGCCCUGCAGAGAUUGGCAGAGCUCAGUGCAGCUCUCAUGAACUCAGUUGUUGAAGCUUUGAGGCAACCGAGCUGCUCAGCAAGUGCAGUCUUCAGCCCUUCAAGUCUGAAAGCUCAAAACCUGAAGACUUUGCCAUGCUGCUUUGCAGAGUACCAGACUCCUUCCAUGAACAGGCUGCUGUAGGGGGCUUGGGGAACCCAGGGUUUUGCUGUGGGUUGGCCCUUCAUGCCUGGGAGCUGGUGUUGCCCUUUUGGGUGAACACAACAGGGCUGGUUGCUGCUGCAGCAGGAAUUCCCUGUCAGCAGGGAGGUACUUUGCUGUAAUGGCUUCACUGAUGAGUGCAUAUCUCUUUAUCCCCCAUCCAGUGCAUAGUGUUCUGAUCUGAUCUGCUUUUACUACCCUGUCACUGUUCAUAAGAGCAUCUAUCGUUCUGCUAGCUGUUGCUUCAGAUGUAGUUCAAAGCAGCAUCAACAUGUCAGGCCUCUGUUCUGAGUUUUCCUGGGUAGACCUCAGCCUACAGCAGCCCUAAAUACAGAGAAACCAUACAUAGAGCUGGAGACAGGCUCUAAAUUAUCAGGGUUGGGUUCUUAAGCAUCAGGAAAUCAGGAAAAAAAAGUGCUAGAGUAGCCUGCUAAGCAAUGCAAGUGGCUUAGCAGUUUUGGCAGCUGAGAAGGGAAGAAAUAAAUUCUAAUGCACUUAACAAUACCUUACCUGUGUGCAGAAAUGAGCUGGCUGGUUCAUGGCAUGGGAGGUUGUCUAAUGUGGAAAUGACUAACUUCCUCUGGCAGUACCAGUGUGCUGCAUAGGAUGUAGGAGGUAGGAUGUGAGGAGGUCCUGGGCCACUAGUAAGUGUAGCUAGGCUUGUUAAAUAUCAAGUUAAAUUUAAUCUGUGAAAACUCUCCUUUCUGAGUUGUAUUGUCUGAUUUCUGCAGGAAGAAAAUAUUUCCCUUACAAGUACAAUGCUGUGUGGCCAUCUGACUGCAUAAGAGGAAGUAAGAGUCUUGCAAAGGUUAGGUCCUACGUGCCUUGAUAAUUGCAUAUGUGAUCCCAUGGAAGAGAAGAGAAUCCCAUGGGAGCAGAGGACUGAAAUUCUUUACUGCCUGGCUUCUAGCGUGCUGGUUCAGGUCACUUACUCUUCCCAGCCUGUGGUGGGUGCUGGUGUAGGGUUGUGUGGUCAUAACUGUGACGUGUGGCAGCAGUUGGAGCAGGAGCACAGCGAGCAAUGCCCCGUGCUGGAUGCUUGUGCAGCAGCUGUGGUGUCCCUGGGUGAUGGCCAGUACCUACUGUAUGUGUAACAAUCGUGUGAUUGCUUGCUGAGGAAAGGGUUGGGACAGCUACAUCCCUUCAAGCCCACCCACAGCUUAUUCAGCAUGUUGGAAGUGGGAUUAUUUCUUCCUGGCCCACAGACAAGAUCAGCUUGAGCCUCUCACUGCAGCAUCUUAAUUACCUGUCCCCUUUUCCCUGUGAAGCUGCACGUAGUAUUGCCCAGCCAUAUGCUUGGGUCAGAGCAGGGGAGAUCACCAAACAUCAGAUGUCCAAGGGGCUGAUUAUGGUCGAAAUUGCAUACAUCCUUCUGCAGCCUUCUGUUAUGUGGAUGUAGCUCUUCAGAGGAAACAGCAGCAAGCACCAAGCUGAGGACAAAAAGCCAGUAGGUUUGUGGAGACUGUUUUGCUGUUCCUGCUGCAGCUUUGUGCUGCUGAUGUGCAGUUGCCAACGGGAAGAGGGUUAAGCCCACAUAUCACAUGGCACGAUUCUGUUUACUACAUAUUUCUCAUAAUCGGGACUGGCAUCCAAAUCCAGAUGAUUAGCACUUAACCAAAGACCCUGAAACAAUGUGUGUCAUGUUUGUAUUCCUCUGAAGCUAUGCACUUUGCCACAAUUUCUCUUGCAGAGACAUGAUUCUCCCUGCAGCCUCCAAAGGAAGCUAUGGGGAGAGCAGAAAAUGAACAGUUUUAUGACAAAGACUGGGUUGGACUGAACUACAUUCAUCUUAGUCUGAGCUUGAAGCCAGCGGAAUUUCGCCAGGAAUUGACUUAGACCAUAAUAACUUUAUCUCUACCAAAGGUGGUUCUUGCCAAUGGUCUGAGAUUAGAGCACCAGCUCGACAGUGACAGGGAAAUGAGACUGUGCCCCUUGGUUUAAGGGCUUGGAUAGCUAUUGUUGAGUGCUGAGUAUAAGCUGUGGUGGUGGAGAACUAAGUAUAAAAUUCACAUUAGUUUUUGAGGUGUGGUUUUGGAUAAGAGGAAAAGUAUAAUUUCACAGCCCAGUCUCUACCUUAUUCUUGCUAUCAGCAUGGGCAUUACUGUAGCAGACUUCCAUGGGGCCCAAGGCAGGUUGUGAAUUACCUUUCUACUAUUCCUUCUGAACAAGGCAGUUCUUUCUGUCUCUUUCUCCUCACAAACUCAUCUCUGCCCAUACACAUACACCACACAUGGCUUUUCCUUUCUCUGGUGUAGUAGCAGUUCAUUUGUAAAGACCUCCUUUGUCCUCCUUAGAGCUUCAACACUUGGCAGCAACCUGCGUUACAGCCGUCUCUGAAGACAGAUUGCAGAAGUCUGUUUUUCCCCAUGCUUCUAAAGGUCUUUUUCCACCCCCCUUCUUCCUGCCUCAUCUAAAAAGUCACACCAUCAUCCAUGGAUAAAGUUUACACAAAUUAAAUGUGGGAGAGGAAGGAUGAAGAGGUGUACCUUUUUCCCCCUUCCCUGUGAUGAUCCAAUGCUAAUGGAAAAAGAAUUUCUCUUGACCAGCCUGUUUGUUACUGGGAUCUACCUGCUUAAAAGACUCUUGGGCUGAAGAGAAUUAGGAGCAGUUUUGUGAUCUAAGCACAAGCUUGAAAUAAACCCGUCCAUUUGUUUGCUAGUAGUGUCAGAAGGACCUUCCUUUUCUCAACCUUAGAGACUUUUUACUCCUUUGUAUUUCAGGAGGAAAGGAGAUGAAUUCCUGCUUUCUAUUUUGUUGGGUGCUGGCUGUUGCUUCUAACAUAUGAUACAGUUUCUUAGCCACAGAUAUUAAAAAUGUAGUCCAUUGAGUCUGUCUUGAAUUAUCUUUUUUAUUUUGGUCUUGCACUGGACUGCACUGUUAUAAGAGAAAGCUUGAACUUUGAGAAAUACUGUCAAGUUCCUCUAAUUAGAAGACUUGUGGUAGAAAUGUCUUAGGGUGCUAGAAAGGCACCUAUUUUCAGUAGAUAUUGACAGACCUUGUAUGGACAAUUCUGGAAUAAGGUUUUUAGGUCUUCUGAAACAAGUGACAGUAAAUGUUCCUUGACUGUUUGUACCAAGGUAAUGUGACUUCCACGUGGUCACUUACACUGCUGUCUGUUGCCUGCAUGUACCUUGCCUCGCUCAGAAGGUUCUUUAUUUGAGAAAACAGACAGCAAACAUAACGGCAGUGAUCAGAAUUGCACAUGAAGUGCAUGUCCUCCAUUUGAGUUACCUAUUUCUUGUCAGUGGUUUGAACCAGACUGAACAGCCAUGGAUUUUUUUACGUGUAACCAUUAGCAUUGUCAUCAAGUGUCAGUUGUGAUACUAAGCUGAACUGCAAAUGUUUUGCUUAGCAACUGUUGCAAAGGAAAAUU